AUAAUAUUGUUAUAUUGUUGGCAAAGGGGGCUAUUUUAUCAAAGCUUGUGAAAUGAAUGCAAUUAGAAAGCAGUAGAUGCCAUGUAUUCUCAGAAUAUUCAAGGAUUUUUUUUCUAUAUAAUCCGAACUUAUAAAUUCUACCCCAGGAAAUUUAUGGCAUCUUCCAGAAAAGUAGAUUUAUAGUUUGAUUCUGCUUUCUGUAUUCUAAUAUUAAAUUUCCGUAAAGUAGUGUGAUAUUUCAAAACAUAGGUAUUGGCUUAAAAAAUGUUUUUCAAAGUUUGAAACUAAGGUAAAUUUUCUAUUCCCUAACUUUCAAACAAACUUCAUGAUCUAUUUUUGCAAAGGAAAAAUAGCCAACACGGUGAAAAUGAUGGUAAAAAGGAGAAAAAAUCCUAUCUAAGAAUGUUUAAAUCACACAAUAAAUCACCAAAAAUUCCUGGAAACUGACCUCCGCAUCUUGGCACCAAAUACAGCAAACCUAUUCCCAUAAAGCUGCUGUCUGCCUCCUCCCAGCUGCCGGUGAACACGACCUUUCCCCGUGAAAGCCGUGAAGUUUUGGAAGAGUUUUGUUUGUUUUCUGUGUUCUCAGCUGUCCCUUUGUAGAGCUGUACCUCCUUCCCCUUCAAGCCCUCUACGUUUCUUAGUCCUGAACCUUAGAUCAAAAUUUUAAACAUUCUGAUAUCAGUCACUUAUAUUUGUGAAUUAACUGGCAGGUCAUAACGUUUUCUUUAAAGUUGCAAUGUCUUACAACAACAGAUAUUUAUAAUGUGUCCAUUUCUUCAUCCAUUCCCUUAAUUGGUUUUUAUUUAACAAAUGUGUAUUGAUACCUAAUAUGUGCCAGCUAGGCAUUAUGCAUGGUGCAGAAUUUUACCAAUAAAUGACAGAGCAACUUACCUUAUAAAGAGCGUGAAUGAACAAAUAAACGAAUGAAGGAAUGAAUGAUUUGGGGCACUUUAUUAUUAGUGAUGGACGAAAUAGGGUUAUCUUAGGAUUCAGAAGGCAAAUGGAGAAACUUGGGAGAAGAGGAAGAGCCCUUGAAAUUUCUUUCGGGUUGUCUAGUCCCUACAGAAAAGCUGAAGGAAAGUGUGACUUCUGUUCUCUGGCUUCAUGAAGGAUCAAGACUCGAUCUUUUCCUGUUUGAUGUCCCUGGCACAGUCCUUCACAAUUUCUCCUACAGUCUGAGGAUUUUGGCCCCAUCUUUUCGGCUAACUCAUCCUGACUCUCUCUCCUUUCCUUCUGCUCUCAGACUCUUGGAUGCGUAUUUUAUGACUUCUAGUUUAUUAUUUUAAUUACUUCCUCAUAAGAGUUCCCUAAUCCAUCUGCUAUCUUAUGUGCCUCUUAUUAAAACGUAAAUAUUAUCAAAUAUAAUUUGGCCUGAUAACCAUUCUCCCUAUUUGACAAAUUUUGCAUCUGUUAAAUAGACUUUGACAAAGAUUUAUUAUCUAUGAAUUACCAUUAACAGAAAUAUUAUUGUGUUAGGGGAAUGCAAUUUUCACGGUGCUGGUUUUUCUUGGAGUGGUCCCCAGAUCCAUUUUCUGCCCUUCUCUGCUUAGCUCUAUGCUGACAUCUGUGUGUCACCAGUGUCCCUUGGGCAGAUGACUUGCAGUUGGUUUUGUCAGUGGAAGAAUAGGGUCUUCAGAAGAUCAGAGCACAGAAGGAGAGAGAACUCUGGGUAUUUCUUCCUCUCCUCCUCCUCUUUGUUUCAGUGUCACUUUUUUGACAGUGGCUGUGUCCCUCCAGAUCCACAUUUCCCACUGGAUGACCCCUCCUCCAGGGCUCCAGCUAUCAGUGGAGUCCUUGCAAUAUUUCCUCCCCUUUCCCCUUAAGCUCAAGGAGUGGUAACAGUUCCUCUCUACUGCUGGUCUGCCAUCAUCGUCUCAUUCUUGUUCCUUUACCUACCUACACCUCUGUAACUGGUAACUUUGUUUGUGUCUUCACCUGAAUCAUUUGGGGUAAAUUCUGUGUCCUAGUCAGGACGCUAACUGCAGUGCAGUGUACAUCUUCCACAGUGAAGAAAAGAAGAAGAAGAAAAAGGCUUGGGAAGCUGAAGCAAGAUGUCCAGGAUGAUCGGAGUGGAAGUGAUAAGCUACUACAUAAGCACUAAGCUAGCAAACGGCGGGAAUUUCAGCCUUCACAUACUUAAAGGAUGUGCCUGAUUUUAUUAUUUCUUCCAGAAAGUUCUGGAUUCUGAAUGUCUACUCAAAUACAAGAAAUCCUUUUUUUCCUGUUUGAAUUGUCUUCAAAGUGAAUUUUCCAAAGCCACCCCACUGAGUGACCAUGAGGGAAAAUUGGAAAUUAGUGGCUGACGUCAUGUUGGUGGAGGGGAAAGAGAAAGCUCAUAUCCCCCAACUUGCACCAGGAAAGAGCAGAAGCUGGAAGUGAAUUAUAGUUGAGAGGCGAUGAGGGGAAGUGGCAACUGAGGCAGCUAUGGCCCAUACAGGGAGAGCCACUUGCCCAGGAUCAUUCAGCUAAUUAGUGAUAGAACUGUGGAAGCUGUGUGCCCCAGCUUUCCAAUGUUCUUUUCGCUAUACCAAUCUUGUACAGCAAACAGAAUUAUUUGGGAGUCCUCAAUAAUGACGGACGGUUGGAAGUCCUCAACCAAUAGGAAUUAACUGACAAAAUAUUACAAAAAAACUACAUGAAUAAGCAGAAAAAUGAUAUAAUCUUUCACCAGACAUUGUCAUAUGUAGAUGGAGUCCCUGGAACUGUGGCAGAGUUUGUGACUAUGAAGGGAGGAGCAAGCUACAGUCAGCAGCCAUGAGGGCUAACUGCAUCUCUGAUGGAAAAUCAGAGGCCUUCUGGCCUGAAACACCAAAAUGCCCACAUGAUGAUCUUGACCAUGAAAGGGAGGGGUAAUUCUGGAAAGCAGAGAGCCAGAGAAUGGGGGCUCCAAUUUCUCUGUAUGAACUCUAUGUAAUUAUCUAGCUAGCCCCUGAAACAUGCAUGUAUGGAACAGAUCCAUGUGAAAAUAAAACAACUGAGCUGAG
ensembl:lncRNA